rnacentral:rRNA from 1 species
AACGUAGGUGGCAAGCGUUAUCCGGAAUUACUGGGCGUAAAGCGCGUGUAGGCGGCCAGGUAAGUCCGUUCUGAAAGCCCGGGGCUCAACCCCGGGAGGCGGAUGGAUACUGCUUGGCUCGAGUCCGGAAGAGGCGAGUGGAAUUCCCGGUGUAGCGGUGAAAUGCGCAGAUAUCGGGAGGAACACCAAUGGCGAAGGCAGCUCGCUGGGACGGUACUGACGCUGAGACGCGAAAGCGUGGGGAGCAAACAGG